rnacentral:rRNA from 1 species
AUUGAACGCUGGCGGAAUGCUUUACACAUGCAAGUCGAACGAUGAAGUCUAGCUUGCUAGACGGAUUAGUGGCGAACGGGUGAGUAAUAUAUCGGAACGUAUCCAUUAAUGGGGGAUGACUAGUCGAAAGAUUGGCUAAUACCGCAUACGUCCUACGGGAGUAAGCUGGGGAUCGGCAGACCCGGCGUUCAUGGAGCGGCCGGUAUGUUAUUAGCUAGUUGGCGAGGUAAAGGCUCACCAAGGCGACGAUCAGUAGCGGGUCUGAGAGGACGACCAGCCACAAUGGAACUGAGACACGGUCCAGACUCCUACGGGAGGCAGCAGUGGGGAAUUUUGGACAAUGGGCGAAAGCCUGAUCCAGCCAUUCCGCGUGAGUGAAGAAGGCCUUCGGGUUGUAAAGCGCCUUCGCAAGGGAAGAAAACUUAUCCUCUAACAUAGGGUGAGGUUGACGGUACCUUGAUAAGAAGCACCGGCUAACUACGUGCCAGCCGCCGCCGUAACAC